CGUGUCGUGAAAUGCUGGGUUAAGUCCCGCAACGAGCGCAACCCUUAUCCUUUGUUGCCAGCGGUCCGGCCGGGAACUCAAAGGAGACUGCCAGUGAUAAACUGGAGGAAGGUGGGGAUGACGUCAAGUCAUCAUGGCCCUUACGAGUAGGGCUACACACGUGCUACAAUGGCGCAUACAAAGAGAAGCGACCUCGCGAGAGCAAGCGGACCUCAUAAAGUGCGUCGUAGUCCGGAUUGGAGUCUGCAACUCGACUCCAUGAAGUCGGAAUCGCUAGUAAUCGUAGAUCAGAAUGCUACGGUGAAUACGUUCCCGGGCCUUGUACACACCGCCCGUCACACCAUGGGAGUGGGUGCAAAAGAAGUAGGUAGCUUAACCUUCGGGAGGGCGCUUACCACUUGGAUCAGGCUGCG
rnacentral:rRNA from 1 species